rnacentral:lncRNA from 1 species
CGCGCACGCACGCACGCGCACGCACGCGCACGCACGCACGCACGCACGCACGCACACAUUCCAGUAUGUCAGUGUUUCUUCUAUUCUACUAUUAUUUGAGCUAGAUCAUUGUUUUUGUGAGGUUGCCUUGUGUACUGUGGGAUAUUGAAUAGUGUCACUGGGCUGAUGACACCAGAUGCCAAUAACAGCCUUCCUUUCCCUCACCUCCUUGUGACAAAAUGUAUGGAGACAUUGCCAAGUGUCUCCUAGGACCCAAAUCAUCCAGUUGAACAUCAUUGAGUUAGGAUGAAAUGAAGAACUAAGUGAAAGUGAAGAAGACCAUGAAAGCUGUUGGUUUUCCUCUUGGGGGGCAAUCAGGAGGCAGACAGACACACUACAAAGGCAGAGCUCACAUCUUUCAUGUUCAUGGCUUGGCCUCCAACCUGGCAUUGACUUACUUGGGUUACCAUGGCAAUACUCAGUGCUGCUGUCAAUAUUCUGGUACAUGCUCCAUGGACACAAGUCAAGGAAGCCCUCCCUCUUAAAGAAUGUAAACUCAUGAAUACAAUUUCUG